rnacentral:rRNA from 1 species
UACGUAGGGUGCGAGCGUUGUCCGGAAUUAUUGGGCGUAAAGAGCUUGUAGGCGGUUUGUCGCGUCUGCUGUGAAAUUUCGGGGCUCAACCCCGAACUUGCAGUGGGUACGGGCAGACUAGAGUGUGGUAGGGGAGACUGGAAUUCCUGGUGUAGGCGGUGAAAUGCGCAGAUAUCAGGAGGAACACCGAUGGCGAAGGCAGGUCUCUGGGCCACUACUGACGUGAGAAGCGAAAGCAUGGGGAGCGAACAGG